rnacentral:rRNA from 1 species
AUGGCGCCUCCCCUCCUCCUCCUCCUCCUCCCUCUCGCCGCCGCCACCGCACCGUGCGCGCAUCCGGCCUACCCGAGCCAGCCGGCGUCGUGCCCGGCGGAGCCCGUGCUGGCGCCGGAGCGCCGGGAGACGCACGGCGGGGGCCGCAUCCUGGACAUCACCCACUACUACCGGGAGGACAUGCCCUCGUGGGAGUCCGGCGCCGGGGUGGGCCAGUUCCUGUGGCUGCCCGCCUCCAUGCGCAACGGCUCCCUCGCCAACAACUCCGAGAUGCGGAUGCCCACCCACACCGGCACCCACGUCGACGCCCCCGGCCACGUCUUCCAGCACUACUUCGACGCUGGCUUCGACGUCGACACCCUCGACCUCGACGUCCUCAACGGUCCUGCACUGCUGGUUGAUGUUCCAAGGGAUGAAAAUAUUACUGCUAAAACGAUGGAAUCUUUGCAUAUUCCUAAAGGAGUUCAACGGGUACUUUUUAGAACGUUAAACACUGACAGGAACCUAAUGUGGAAGAAAGAGUUUGACACAAGCUAUGUGGGUUUUAUGAAAGAUGGUGCCCAAUGGUUGGUAGACAACACGGAUAUUAAGCUUGUCGGAAUAGACUAUUUGUCCGUUGCAGCUUUCGAUGACUUGAUCCCUUCGCAUUUAGUUUUUCUCGAAAACCGGGAUAUCAUUCUUGUGGAGGGCCUCAAACUGGAGAAUGUCAUACCUGGGAUAUACUCGUUGCAUUGCCUGCCACUUCGGUUGCGUGGAGCGGAAGGUUCGCCGAUCAGAUGCAUCCUUAUAAAGUGA